CAUCCGCAGCAGGUCUCCAAGGUGAACAGCCUCUAGUCGAUGGACCAAUGUAGGUAAGGGAAGUCGGCAAAACGGAUCCGUAACCUUGGGAUAAGGAUUGGCUCUGAGGACUGAGCCGGUCGGGCUGGGGACCUGAAGCAGGAACGGCACUGCACCGGGACUGGGCGGGGCUCGCCGUUGACGCGGCGCGGCCAAGCCCGGACCAGCGUCGGGACCUUCCUGUGGAAAGCCUCAGCUGCGCGGCGUCUGAGGGCUUCGUGCCCAAAGUGCUAUGCUUCGGCCGGCAAAAAACAGUCAACUCAGAACUGGCACGGACCGGGGGAAUCCGACUGUCUAAUUAAAACAAAGCAUUGCGAUGGCCGCUGGUCGGUGUUGACGCAAUGUGAUUUCUGCCCAGUGCUCUGAAUGUCAACGUGAAGAGAUUCAGGUUCAAAAGCGGCUCGGCAAGUCCGAAAACCCACAAAUCGGAAAGCCACGGGUCAAUGCCCGACGCUCCGAGCCCUAAGCGUUGCUUGUCAGCCAGAAGGUCGCAAGGUGGACCCCGAGCGGAGGCUCCUCCCGGCGGACCCGAGCGGGAUCUGUCGGAGGUGGCUGCUCGGGAGCCUGCACCGAAAACAGGAAAGCAAAAGGACAAAGCUAAGACCAAGCACAAGGGAAACACGAUGACUGUGCUCCCAAGGUCUAACAACCACAGAAGGAACGAGGAUGCACGAUUCGGCGUGCAGUCCGUAGAGCCAAAGCAGAUCAGUGCGGGGCGACCACUUCGGCAGGGGGAACUGCCGGAGGAGGCCGAGCGAGAGAUCUGCCCCUCCUUGGGUAACAAACACCCAGAGGAAGAGUUGGAGGACACUGAAGCGUCCCAGCGGAGAAGACGGCAAAAGGCAAGCC
rnacentral:ncRNA from 1 species